rnacentral:pre_miRNA from 1 species
AAUGUAUGAUGCCGUUGACUUUUUGUCUAACGUUUGACCAUUCAUUUUAUUUAAAAAAUUUACGUAAUUAUAAUUUAUUUUAUUGUGACUUGAUUCAUCAUUAAAUAUUCUUUAAGCAUGACAUAAAUAUUUUCAUAUUUUCACAAAAAUUUUGAAUAAAACGAAUGGUCAAACGUUGGUUAAAAAGUCAACGGUGUCAUAUAUU